AAUUCUCAAGCUGGAUGCUUUUUUCCUUUAAAAAGUUCUAUCUUAGCUUGGUUUUGGGCUUUGCGGUGUCCCCUUUAUUGGGGAACUGCUGGCCUUAAAAGUAUUAGCUGGCCCAGAUGCAAAUUGGUUCUGCUCAGCGUGAUAAUAAUUUGUGACUGCUGAGGACAUCUUUCGGGAUGGCCAACUUCCACUCAGGGUUGCUUCUAACCUGUGGUUUCCAUAUUCUUUGAAUCUGGUUCCAUUUGCUCACAAUU
rnacentral:misc_RNA from 1 species